rnacentral:lncRNA from 7 species
GGUUUCCCAAGUAUUGUUUAUAGGAAAGCAAACCAGAUCUCCUUUUCUCCUUACAACAUGCCUCAUCUCGAACAUGAAAACUGAAAGAUGAGGCAGCCACCUUAAGCAAACCUGCCCUGAGAUAGAAGAAAAUACAAGAACCUUUCAAGGACUCAGCUUCAGGAACCCUUUGGCACAGGAACUGACUCACCCAUUCUUGAGAGCCCAUCUGGGAGUGCAUUAUCUCCGGGUUGGAUGGAGCUCUGGACAGCCUGAUUAAGCAGUUGGUAACCCUGCCCAUGUCAGGGGGUUGGAACUGGAUGAUGCCUAAGGUCACUCCAACCUAAGCCAGUCUAUGAUUCUAUGAGUCCACGGUUCUUAAGAAAGAUCAUCAGCACACACUGAUGGAAAAUGUUGAUCUGUAACAAGAAGUGCGGAGAGGCGAGCCUUGAUCUCUGCAGCUUCAGGGGCUGCAGGCCAAGCCAGGAGAGUGCAGCACCUUCUGCUCAGGCGGCCCUGCAGUCACUGGCAUUGCGAGAAACUGCGUCAAAAGUCUUCCUGGGAUGCAGAAAUUUCUACUGAAUCACAUAAGACUUUAAUUGCUUCAGAGCCCAAAUAGCUUCUACACAGCCAACCCUGAGAUCUCACAUUGUGGAUGAAAUCUUUUUUUAAUCCCUUCUUAUCUGUACAGUUGGGGAUUCAUUCAUAAAAGGCUUUGAGUGUUUGACCCCAGACGUGCCCCAGUGCAGAGGGAAUCUCUCACUCUCAUAUCAGGUUGGGAUGUCUUUUACUGUCAUAAUUUAAGUGCACUUUGCACUGCUCCCAGGGUCACAAGUUGCUGUGCUCCCUGUCUUUCCUACGGCCGCUCUCCUGUGGAAGCUACCAGGAGAACUCGCUAGAUAGGAAGGAAAGAAAGAGCUAAGUAAUUAAGAAGCAAGUGUGCAUCUGUCUCAGGCCACUUGCCAAGCAUAAUGUGGUGGGGGGAAAAAUCUGCUGCCGUUUGAAACUGCUCCUGUUGAACUUGCGUACUCCAGUAGCACGGGUGACAGAUGCCGCACAGUGAGGUCUUGGGACUUUCUGUGCCCACCUAAUGAUGAGGACAUCGUGGGGUUUGUCAGACCACAAACAUGCCAGAGGUUCCUGAGGUUUAGAUAGUUCUGAACAGGUCUCUGAUUUACUUAAGCUGCCUCCCUGUCAGAAUACAGUUGCAUGUACGAAAUAAUGGAUGUGUCCAACAAUUAGCUCCAGGAGCUCACCUCCAGAUUGUGUCAAAAAGAGCUCAGAUAUGGUCUGCUUCAGCAUCAUUUAGUGAUGAGGAAAGCAAGCAAGGGAGGAUAGGGCACUGUCAAAAUCGAUAGCCAAUCUGACAGGAAGAAGCUGGAUGUUUGGCAUGUUCCAGAUUAUUUUAGUGCCCCCUGAAGAGACGAUAGAAAGAAAUCUCCUGAAAACAUCUAACUGCUCAAAGGGUUUGAUGCAAAAGCUGCUCCUGCCCUUGAAACUCAUAGCUUGACGUUAACAUACCUCCUCUGUGGACAUCAAAAAGCUAUGUGUUACUAUAUGUGGUAUUGCAUCUGUUCCCAAAUUUGUUAUUAAUUUCUUCUGAAGUUAUGAUCAUGGGAGGAGGAAGAGAGGGAGUUAGCCAGCAGCCUUGUGUGGUUAAUUGGCCUCUCAUUGAGCUGUGGGUUG